rnacentral:lncRNA from 9 species
GAUGCUGUGUGACCCGCCGUCACCUCGGGGAAGCCGGGGAAACGGGAGGGCCACUCCUUCUCACGCCUCGCUUCCCGCGGUGUGUUUCUACAGACUCGGUGGCGGAGCGCACCGACUGCCGCCAGGAUGAGGAGGCUGCAGGAACUCACGACGACGAUGUUGUGGAGGCCGGUGGGAGUGAGAAGACUGAGGCAAAGCCCCGGGCUGGGGGACAUGAGGACGAGGCGGCCCCAGUACCUGAGGUGGAGGUGGAGGAGGAGGCGGGCCAGCCCCGUGAAAAUGGCCAGGAGGAGUCCUUAGCCAUCGCCUGGGCUGAGCCGGAAGACGAGCCUGGCCCCAAGGUGGACGGGGCGGACGAUGAAAUCUCUUGGAGCUUGGAGAGUGUGUGUGAGAGCGACCUCGCUGACAGCAACCUCGCAGAAAGUGAUCGAGACUCGGUGGCGGAGCGCACCGACUGCCGCCAGGAUGAGGAGGCUGCAGGAACUCACGACGACGAUGUUGUGGAGGCCGGUGGGAGUGAGAAGACCGAGGCAAAGCCCCGGGCUGGGGGACAUGAGGACGAGGCGGCCCCAGUACCUGAGGUGGAGGGGAGGAGGAGGCGGGCCAGCCCCGUGAAAAUGGCCAGGAGGAGUCCUAGCCAUCGCCUGGGCUGAGCCGGAAGACGAGCCUGGCCCCAAGGUAAGCUCACCUUUCUUGAUGUGAGGUUGGAAAAGGUGCCUCCUUUCUUCUUGAUGUACCUCCUUCAGAAAUGGAAAUCUGAGAAAGUCCACUGUAGAUGAUAUAUGCAGAUUGCUGUGCGGAGGACUGUUGAGUCCAAGUUUGGUACCAAGCAGUAGCUCCUUCCCCGGGGCAUUUGCAAAAGGGACCGCAUCAGUUCCCAAGUGUGCAGUAGGGAGCAUAUGUCUUUGAAGAAGCCGGAAUGUUGUUUGUCUGUUUGUCUUUUUUGCCUUUUCUAGGCCCCUCCCGCGGCAUAUGGAGAUGAGGUUCCCAGGCUAGGGGUCUGAUCGGAGCUGUAGCCACCGGCCUACGCCAGAGCCACAGCAACGUGGGAUCCGAGCCUCGUCUGCCACCUACACCACAGCUCAGGGCAGCGCCGGAUACUUCACCCACUGAGCAAGGCCAGGGAUCGAACCCGCAACCUCAUGGUUCUUGGUCGAUUCGUUAACCACUGUGCCCCGAUGGAAGUCCAAAGAAGCCUGAAAGUUUGUUAAAAUGUACGAGGACUUGGGAGAUCUUCCAUGAAAAGCUGGCGCCUUUUCCAAAGGGGUCUUCGCCGUGUUCUUUGGGGAAACGGACUCAACGCUGCCUCUGUCUGCGUGCCUGCGGUCCCCAACGGCAGGAAGACCUGUGGCCGCAGUGCAGAGGAUGCUGUGACACUCACCGUGUUUCUCUGUCUCAUCACAGGUGGACGGGGCGGACGAUGAAAUCUGUGAGUAUUCUGGAGCCCGGCUGUGCUGAGGAGAAGUCCAGGUGUUGAGGAAAUGGGGG